AAAGUCAUAGCUCCAGCAUCUACUUGAUUAGGGAAUGCAUGUCAAUACCAUAGGAGGUAUGUAGUCAAAAACCAGAUCAAGAGGAUUAUGCUGCUACAAGGAAGAAUAAUGGCAGGGAAACAAAUCCGCACAAGAAGAAAAAGGAAUCAAGCACUCUCUCAUCCGUCAAGUGCUGGCCCUGGGACACAGGGAGGCAGGGCUGGAGUUUCUGCCCAUUAACCAUGUGAUCAGCUCUGCCACUGUGCUGGACCUUUGACAGGCUUUCCAGAUGCUACAGAGUCAGAUAAAGAUCUGAAGACCAGCGAAAGUACAAACUUAGAAGGUGUCUACACUAUUACAUACUUUACCUAGCUUGAAACCAGCAUGUUCCAACAUGCUGGUUGUGUUUUGUUUUUCAAUGUA